UGGUGGGUUGCCUUGUCAGGUUGAUUCCGGUAACGAACGAGACCUCAGCUUGCUAAAUAGUCACGGUCACCUUAGGGUGUCCGGCCGACUUCUUAGAGGGACUAUUGUCGUUUAGGCAAUGGAAGUAUGAGGCAAUAACA
rnacentral:rRNA from 1 species